rnacentral:rRNA from 1 species
AGAACGAACGCUGGCGGCAUGCCUAAUACAUGCAAGUCGAACGAAGGCUUCGGCCUUAGUGGCGCACGGGUGCGUAACGCGUGGGAAUCUGCCCCUUGGUUCGGAAUAACAGUUGGAAACGACUGCUAAUACCGGAUGAUGACGAAAGUCCAAAGAUUUAUCGCCAAGGGAUGAGCCCGCGUAGGAUUAGCUAGUUGGUGAGGUAAAGGCUCACCAAGGCAACGAUCCUUAGCUGGUCUGAGAGGAUGAUCAGCCACACUGGGACUGAGACACGGCCCAGACUCCGUACGGGAGGCAGC